rnacentral:lncRNA from 1 species
GUGAGUUGUGGACCAGCGGUGUGAGCUGUGAAAUGUAACACAAAGCUGUCCCCUGCCAGCCAAAAUAUUUUAGUCAUUGUAGCGGCUUCAGUGGUGGUUCCCAAAGACAUUUUUAUGUCUUAAGCCUGGCACCUGUAAAUGUGGCCUUAUUUGGAAAAAGUUAAGAAUCUCCCGAUGAGAUAUUCUGGUCAUGAGGGUAGGCCCUAAAUUCAGUGACACGUGUUCUUAUGAGAGAAAGGCACAGAGAGAUUUGACACAGAUGGAAGAGAAGUCCAUGAAGAGAGGAGAGUCCAUGUGAAGAUGCAGGCAGAGAUUGGAAUGAUCACAAGGUCGCCAACACCCGGAGCCGCUAGAAGCAGGGAGAGGCAGGGAGGGGUUCUCCCCUGGAGCCUCUGAGGGGGGCACAGCCUGCCGACACCUUGAUUUUGGACUUCUGGCCCUCCACACUGUAGCCACCUAGUUUGUGAAACCGUGUGUGUUGGGCACACAAUUUACAAAUGAGAAAUCGAGCUCACUGCCCCGAAGAGGAUCACAGCCCAGGCCAUGCUUCCAACCCAGCGGGACCCACUUCUUGGAGGAGAGCUGGCAGCCAGCCCGGGCUCCUGGGCAGGCCCUUGGAGUGGGCGCAGAUCCUGGGCUUCCCCCAAACACACCUGAAGCAGCCCUUCCAGUCAUGUGGCGACUCUCCAUGAGAGGAAUUCUCGUAAAUGCAGUUUUCUUCAUCUGGUUGAACAGUCAGCCCUCCUUAUUUGAGGUUCCGCAUCUUCUGAUUCAACCAACUGCUGAUGGAAAGGCCCACGAUGGUUGCAUCUGUACUGAACAUGUACAGACUUUUUUUCUUGUCAUUAUUAUCUAAACAGUACAGUCUAACACUAUUCACAUAGCAUUUACAUUGUAUUAGGUAUUAUAAGUAAUCUAGAGAUGACAAAGAAAGUAGAGGAUGUGCAUGGGUUAUAUGGAAAUACUACACCAUUUUGUGUAAGGGACUUGAGCAUCCUGGAUUUUGGUAUCCCUGGGGGUCCUGGACCAAUCUCCUGUGGAUACAAAGGGACAACUGUAUUUCAAGAGUGGUUUUAGUAUUUCAGUUGCUUUUUCUUGUUCUUUGUGUCUUGAGGGAUCCGCCCAGCUGGCCAACCCUCCAACCUGACUCUGCUCCUGUUGAGCUGUAGGAAGAAACUGUCUUCUCAAGUCAGACGCAGGAAGCUGGGCCAGCCCCAGGAAGGCUGGGCUAGAGUUGGCAAUCGUUUGGGAGGAGGAAAACAAAUCUGAUGGACUGCAAGGGGAAGCGGCUGGGUGUGGCGAGGGCAACGGCUUCCUCAUCUCUGUGUGAGCCGAAGAAAGGGGUUCCGAAAGGGACAAGGAGCUAUGUGUGAGCCCGUAUGUCUUCAGGGGAUAAAACGCUGCUGUAUGUUAAUCACCCCUGAACUAGAGAAGGACUCACAAUAUUUUUUUUAAUUUGAGUUUAUUUUUAAUUUCAGCUUUAUUGAGGUAUAAUUGACAUAUAAAAUUCUAAGAUAUUUAAAGUGUACAUCAGAAUGAUUUAAUAUAUGUACACUCUGUGAAAGGAUUCCCCUGUCUAACUAACUAACACAUCUAUCACCUCACAGAUUUAUCUUUCUUUUUUUUUUUGGUGAGAACAUUUCAAUUCUACUCUCUUAGCAGAUUCAUCAUACCUUCAUGCCUCUUUUCCUCAGACUGUCAAUUGUAAUUACAUACAAGGGAAGUGAAGAGUUAUUUUAAAAUAUUAUUGGUGCCAAAUGAGUAAAUGGGUGGGGAAGAAGGAAUAGUCUUUUACUGAGGGACAACAUUUGUGAGGACUUUAAAAAAUCUAGAAACUCUAAAAUCAAGAGAAAACUGCGUCAAUAGUUCAAAUGUUUCUGAAUAAGUCAAGACAGAGGCAAGAUUGUCAUUGGAAAGCCAAGUUCACUCAUCCAUCCUAGGUCCUGUGCCAACAUCGAGCAGAGCCUAAGGGAACCUCGCUCGCAGGGUCCCCAUGGUCCUGCUAAGAUGCCCCCCUGUCCUGGACACCAGUGGUCCCAAGACGACAAACCCUGAGAGAUCCCUGACAGUCACCCUCUUCCUUCUGCUACCAGCGUCCCAACUUUGCUCCAACAUCAACACGGACAGUUCCAGAGGAUGUGCCAUCUGGGUCUAAGCCACUCAUUGCAAUCCUGUAUCCUUUUGACAUUGGGGAUUGGACUAAGGCAGGGUUAGGGUAUGUCAAUCUUUUUUUCAUUGUUGACAUCCUAAGGAACUAUCUUAGCUAUUUUUUUCCCUAAUCAACCCUCUCUGCCCCAUGACAUUUUAAUACCACAGAUAUUCUGAAUAUCUGUUUAUGUAGUGUAUGGAUAUUAUGGUUUGUUUAUAAAUAAAAAGAUUUCUUUGCCCCUGCCAAGAACUUAUUUUUACCCCUUUGGGGGUGAUAUGGUCCCUGCUGAGAAUGCCUGGUGUAAGGGAUUGCAACACUGUUGAUAAUAGCA